rnacentral:lncRNA from 10 species
UGUUCCUUUGCUGUAAUGCAACCGUGUCUUCUGAAUAUGGAUCCAUAUUCACUUUCCAUCUUAUCCUCCAUCAGACACACUCUUCUUUUCCUAAAGCAUUUGCAGGGCAACAGAGGGUUCCAGGUUUCAGAAUUUAAACAGUCGUAUCUCAUUGAAAAUAAGUUUAAUGAUUAUUAAGUUUCCAAGCUAGAUUACAGAAGUCUUUUUAGCCCAUAUCAUAAAUAAAAUAGUUCUGAAUUUUUCGUAUGGAAAAAUAUACUCUGAGUUCCAAGCAAACAACUUAAGAAAAUUUUUAGAACUAACACAUUCCUAUAUUGGGAAGAGCUCAAAAGUCUGUUCUUCCUCCCCAUCCACUGUUGUUUAAUUAAUCUCUUAAUAUCAUAAAGUCCCUCAUGUGCCAAGUGUAGACAGUCAUUUUUGAAUCAGGGCUCACUUUGUUAGCUUUUUUGUCAAUUAAACCUCUUUUCUAUAUAAAUUACCGAGUCUCAAGUAUGUCUUCAUAGCAGUGUGAAAACAGACUAAUACAGGAAUUUGGUACCAGGAGUGGGGCAUUGCUAUAAAGAUACUUGAAAGUGUGGAAGCACCUUUGGAACUGGGUAACGGGUAGAGGUUGGAAGAGUUUGGAGGGCUCAGAAGAAGACAGGAAGAUGAAGGAAAGUUUGGAGCUUCCUGGAGACUUGUUGAAUGGUUUUAACCAAAAUGCUGACAGUGAUGUGGACGAUUAAGUCCACACUGAGGUGGUCUCAGAAGGAGAUGAGGAACUUAUUGGGAACUGGAGUUGCCAAUAGAUCAGCAGUUAACCAGAAGCUUGAGUUGAGUAUGGACCUGACAUAUGGAUAGACAUAUUGACAUCUUAUGCUAGUGUUCUGGCCCUCCCUGCCCCGACAGUGAUAGAAGCAUCCAUCAACGCCCAUCCUGACAUCAGCAUAAAGCACAGGUUGGAGAGAUUGUAGAUAAAGGCAGAGAGGCAUUCAUGCUCCCACCUCAUCUACAUCCCACAGAUCCUCCAUUUUCUCUAGGUAUGAGAUUUAUUUCCAAGCUAGACUGAAAGCUGGAAGAAGAUGGGACACAUGUCUGCUUCAUUUUCUAUUUCCCCAGCAUGUAGGUGCAGCACCCAGCCCCUAGUUGUUUAUCAAUUAUAGGUCUUGAUGGUCAUGUCCCCAGCCUCCCGCCUCAGGAGUAGGCUUCACAUGUCUCCCUUUCAGAAACAAAGCCACGUAAGACUCCAAAACCCCGCCUUCCCUUGGGCUCCACACAAUCAGCAUACAUCUUUCCUUAUCUGUUUUGUGCUCUGAAAAUCGUGUCUACCUCCAAAUGAUACAUCUUUAAAGUGAGUCACCCCUCCUCACAAUCUACUCCAAAAUUUCCAACAAGUUUUCUUCUUUUCAUUCUUCCUCCCACCAGCCUAUCCUAUUCCCUUCUCUCCCCCCACAAAAUCUAGCUCUUCUUUAAAUACAUUUAAACAUUUUCGCUAGGACAUUUCAUCUAUACAGGAUAUGCUAUAUUCUAACUAUUUCUUAGUAAACAUUGAAGGGAGUUUCUUCCUUUAUUCAAGUAUGGAACCCUGCUCAAUAUCCUUUUGGUCUUCAUAUGCCUUCUUUCAAGGCCUUUGUGAAAUUUUUUUCCAUGCCUGAAAGCCGGUGGGGUUUUACACAGGGACUGCGAUGGCUAAAUCCAAGGCAGAGUGGGAUCUUUAUCUAUUAACCAUUUGAUAACUCAAGUUUAUCCCUUGAUGAAUGAAUAAGUUAUCAUUUGCCUUUGGGUCCCAUUCUUGAGUGGUCAUGGAGAGUUCUGUAGCUCACCCUCUUUAUACUCAUAAUUUGCACAAAUUUCACCUAAGAGUAUUUACUUAACCACUUUAAUUCAAUUUGUCUCUACCUAAGACAUUUAAUUCAACAAAUAUUUUUUAAGCUUCUCUAUAAAAGGGACUCUGGCAACUUUCAGACCCGCACUGUAGCACCAGCUCUCUGCUGGCCCACCCCUUGCAGACUUUGGGCUUGCCUGCCUUCAAAAUCAUGUGAGUCAAUUCCUUAAAAUAAAUAUAUUUUUAUUUAUUUAUAUAUAUGUUUGCACACACACGCGAAUCUUAUUUUUUCUGUUUCUCUGGAGAAUUCUGACUAAUGCACCCCCAUUCACCAUCCAGGCUUUUGAGGAGAAAGAUACCAAUCUUAGCAGCAGAGGACACUCUGGAUAGAGCUAGGAGUUUGUUGCAGAGUCUGACAAAAGUUCCCUCUGCAGAAGGGAUGGAAGGAUAGCCUUGGGGGUUGAUUUAGGACUGGGUGUAUGACAUGGGGGAAAAGAAAUCCCUGGGGGAGCUAAAUGAGGGGAGGUGGACCCCUUAUGAUAGUUUAUCAGAGCAAUCUAAGAAAUCAUGUAGGCCUCUAAGAAAGCAUCAAGAAUCAAUGCAAUUUGAUUAAUUGACUUAAAAUAUGUUGAACUUUUCAGCCUCCAUUGUGUAUUUUUGGUGCAAUACUCUGUGCAACUAUUUCAUCCAAGACCAGAAGGGGCUGGAAGAUUGCCUGCUUCACAUUAAAACCCUCCUUAUUGUAUUGGUGCUGACACGACACAAGGAUAUGCAGUCUUUAUCCAGUCCUUAUUGCUCACAGAAAGAUACCAGUCCUUACUGCUCACAGAAAGUAGUGAAGCCUCCCUUCACUCACAGAGCCCACACAGGUAUGCCCUGGUUUAUGUAAUGAAUGGGCUGCUACAAAUAGGUGUGAUGCAUGCCUUUGUGAAUCACUUUAUAUUUUGAAGACACAUUAGAGGAGCUGGCUAUUUCAAAGAAAUUUCACAAGUGCCUCAUUUCUUAAUGUCACAAGCAUUUCUGAUUUAUAAUCAUAACCCCUUUCUAAUGUAUUAGCUUAUGAAGUUCCAUUUUUUGCCUAAGAGGUUUAAUCAAAGCAAGAUAAAACUAUGCUUAAUAAUAUUCAGUUACCUGAAAGAGCUAUUGCAGAAAUGCCUAAUAUAUUACCAGAAAGUAGCUUAAUGUCUCAAAUAAAUGUCAAGUUGUCCAAAUCAAACUGAUAGGCAGCUUAAUGAGGGAUAAAUGUCAUAAUUAUCCAUAUUUCUCCACAUUUUUUUUAGAAAAAAACAUUCACACAAUGAAGGGAAUCAGAAUCUGUUUUUAUAUCCCUAGAGUUAUAAACAUUUGUAUCAAAAUAUUUACAAUUAUAGUA